UAUGUUCUAUGUUAAGUAUUAUUAUUAUGUAUCACAUCCGACAUCCGACCGUGAUUGGGAGUCCCAUAGGACGCCUCACAAGUGUCCCAGCGUUUCUCUCCCUCUAAAAACAGAAAUACAUUUGUGGCCUUUAAAACACAUUAUUUUGGCCUUUAUUCAGAUUACAAUCGCUCACUUUCAUUUAAAAAAAAAAAUUAAAUAACCUCAUAUAAAAUUAUAGUGUAGAAAUGUUAUGCUCUUUUUGUAACCUUUAUGUAACUAGCCAACUCAGUUAAGAACAAAUUCUUAUGUUACAAGGACAGCCUACUCCUUCCUCGCCGUGGGGAAUUGAACCCCGGUUCUUUUGCUCAACGGACCGAAACAGUUUCCAAUGCAUUGUCAACGGAGUUUGUAAACCAACCCAGAUGUAAUAUAAUUCUAGCCACAUGUUGACUCAGUGGCGCUUCUCCAUGCAGGACAUGAGAGGGGGAGGGACUCACACUCUGUACACAGGAAUAGGUUCAUCACUGGUCACUGAGCUGGCAAGCUAAUGUUAGGUAGUUAGUCAUAGAAAUGUACGUUCAGCCUGUGAAUUAUUUCAGUCCGAUUUGACUUAUAUUAAGAAGUCAGCAUUGCUUAACAGUUUCUUUCGUUUUUGACCUCGACAUUGUUGCUGGAUAGAUACUUUCAUAUCUAACAUGCUGGUGAUGCUAGCCAGCUAACCUCAUAUCUGGAUGCCUCACUCUAGUUCCCGAUAGAGCAGCAUACUGGUAAGUCAACUUUGCUUUCAAACUUUGUAAUCAUCUGUAGAGUUGUUUUACAUGCAAUCAUACAAGCUAGAUAGGUAGAUAUUUUGUUUAAAAGCCUGUUGUCAUUCACUGGUUGUUUCUUUGGAGCUAGCUAAGCUAUCACUAGCUAGCUAGUUGGAUAGUAAUUUGAUGUACAGUAGGCUAAAUCAACGUUACAGUAUUACGGAAUGACAACAAUAUAGCCUUGUCACUACUAGUUGGCAUGUUGGUUGAUAUGGGGUGCAGUAGGGUAGCGCCGUUGGUAUUCGUUGGGGUCCCUUGACAAAAUGUCAUUGUUGACUUGGUAAAUUAAGCUAAUGGUUGUGUGCACUCUCACUAGAUAUAAUUUUAAUGUUAUUUAUUUCACCAGGUAGGCCAGUUGAGAACUAGUUCUCAUUUACAACUGCGACCUGGCCAAGAUAAAACAAAGCAGUGUGACAAAAAACAACACGUGGAAUAAACAAAAGUACAGUCGUGGCCAAAAGUUUUGAGAAUGACACGAAUAUUAAUGUUCACAAAGUUUGCUGCUUCAGUGUCUUUGGAUAUUUUUUUGUCAGAUGUUACUAUGGAAUACUGAAGUAUAAUUACAAGCAUUUCAAGUGUCAAAGGCUUGUAUUGACAAUUACUUGAGUCAAUAUUUGCUGUGUUGACCCUUCUUUUUCAAGACCUCUGCAAUCCGCCCUGGCAUGCUGUCAAUUAACUUCUGGGCCACAUCCUGACUGAUGGCAGCCCAUUCUUGCAUAAUCAAUGCUUGGAGAAUUUGUGGGGUUUUGCUUGUCCUCCUGCCUCUUGAGAAUUGAUCACAAGUUCGCAAUGGGAUUAAGGUCUGGGGAGUUUCCUGGCCAUGGACCCAAAUUUGCUUUCGGAGGAUGUGUUGGUACCAUUUUUUAUUCAUGGCUGUGUUCUUAGGCAAAUUUGUGAGUGAUCCCACUCCCUUGGCUGAGAAGCAACCCCACACAUGAAUGGUCUCAGGAUGCUUUACUGUUUGGCAUGACACAGGACUGAUAGUAGCGCUCACCUUGUCUUCUCCGGACAAGCUUUUUUCCGGAUGCCCCAAACAAUCGGAAAGGGGAUUCAUCAGAGAAAAUGACAUUACCCCAGUUCUCAGUAGUCGAAUCCCUAUGCCUUUUGCAGAAUAUCAAUCUGUCCCUGAUGUUUUUCCUGGAGAGAAGUGGCUUAUUUGCUGCCCUUCUUGACACCAGGCCAUUCUCCAAAAGUCUUCACCUCACUGUGCGUGCAGAUGCACUCACACCUGCCUGCUGCCAUUCCUGAGCAAGCUCUGUACUGGUGGUGCCCUGAUCCUGCAGCUGAAUAAACUUUAGGAAACGGUCCUGGCGCUUGCUGGACUUUCUUGAGGCGCCCUGAAGCCUUCUUCACAACAAUUGAAUCGCUCUCCUUGAAGUUCUUGAUGAUCCGAUAAAUGGUUGAUUUAGAUGCAAUCUUACUGGCAGCAAUAUCCUUGCCUGUGAAGCCUUUUUGUGCAAAGCAUUGAUGAUGGCAUGUGUUUCCUUGCAGGUAACCAUGAUUGACAGAGGAAGAACAAUGACUCCAAGCACCACCCUCCUUUUGAAGCUUCCAUUCUGUUAUUCGAACUCAAUCAGCAUGACAGAGUGAUCUCCAGCUUUGUCCUCGUCAAUACUCACACCUGUGUUUACGAGAGAAUCACUGACAUGAUGUCAGCUGGUCCUUUUGUGGCAGGGCUGAAAUGCAGUGGAAAUGUUUUGGGGGAUUCAGUUAAUUUGCAUGGCAAAAAGGGACUUUGCAAUUAAUUGCAAUUCAUCUGAUCACUCUUGAUAACAUUCUGGAGUUUAUGCAAAUUGCCAUCAUACAAACUGAGGCAGCAGACUUGAAAACGUGAAAAUUAAUAUUUGUGUCAUUCUCUGAACUUUUGACCACAACUGUACAGUCAAUAAUAAUAGAAAAAUCUAUAUACAGUGUGUUCAAAUGUAGUAAGGCAAUAAAUAGGCCAUAGUAGCGAAGUAAUUACAAUUUAGCAAAUUGUGUGGUUUUGUGGCAGAUUUUGAAAAGAAAUAGACAUACGGCAUAUCACCAGUAAUUCUCAAUCAGAUGAGAUACACAGCUAACCCAUAUUGAAUUUCAUUCAUAAAUGUGGACGCUAAUUAUUGUUAAUAUUCCAAUUCUCUAGGCCCUCCAUUCCCAAACUUGAAGCCCCCUGUCGCCAACUGGAAAGAACAGGAAAAAGUAGUGGCUUAAGAUCUGCCAACCUGCUCGGUGGGUGACAGGUAACCGUCUUUCCACCAAGCUGUUCCAGGCCUGGAGUGGAACUUCCAUAGGCUUGUAGACCUGAAGUGGUGUGAUGUUUGUCCAGAUCUGACACGCCUAUUAGCUCAACCACAGUCUUCACAGCUGCAGUCGUCUGCAUCUAAUACACCGGCCACGACAGGUGACACAGAUCUGCUGUAGUAUUUACUGCUGUCCACUGCUGUAGUAUUUAAUUUACCGGCUGCACCAGUUUCUACUCCACUGGCCGUGAAGGGAGAAACUUUUGAGGAUUCCCAGAUGGAUACAGAUCUGCCAUGCACUCCACCACUGCCUGACAACCUCACCCAGAAGUGCAUACACUGGGCCUUUCAAGACUGACAAAGCAGAGAUGGGUGGCUGACAAGGAAAAAUAAAACAACACGCGCACACACACACUCACACACACACUUUAUCCACAAUGUAAAUAAGUUGUAAUUGCUUGCUUAUUUAAUGAUUGCUCCAUUUUAUUUUAGGAUUGGAGAUAUCUACUCCUAUAUAUCCAUUAUCAAUGUCUGCAUAAUUACUCUAAAUAUCUAUCAAAUCAAAGUGGGAUUGAUAAUAUUAUAAAAGACUGUGUACAGUUUUAGGAAAUUCUGUGUACAUUUUUCUGAGUUGAAAAACACGCCUCCCUCUCACACACACACACUACACCCAAUGUAAAUAAAUUGCAAUAACUUGUUUAAUGUAUGUAUGCUCCACUUUAUUUUAGGAAAAUAUCUGUAAUAAAGUACAUUCACA
ensembl:lncRNA